GUCGUUAAGGGAAUAUAUCUGAAGCAGCGUCCAGAUCUGACAGUUGAUUAGGUGGGUCUUACUAUGUCUGCUACAUCGCUGCAUGAUAUCCAUAUGAGGGAGGAAUCGCUGAAGAAUGGUGAGCCACUCUUUCGUUGCUGGUGUCGAACAUCCAAUUUAUGAGUUAUGAAUUCUCUCUGCAGAGACAAAGAAAGAAAGUCAUUCAGAUGAGUAGUGAAUUCAUUGUAGACAAUUUGGAAGAACAGAUCAGUACACGUUUAGUGAAAUGGCUGUAUGCCUCUGUGCAUACGAUUAAAGGACAUAUUUCUUCUCCAGUCUUAUUUCAUUAUAUGUAUAAUUUUUUAUUCUCAUUUACCUUAUGUCUUUUCAGACCGAACAUUUUUCUUACUCAUACCCAAGACACCAAAUAGAAGGAAGUUGUAGCAGCUUAGAAGUCACAACAUUUGUCAUGUUUAAACUAAAUGCUAGCUAUUUUGAUAUUCUUUUUGGUGGCCAUACCCGAUAUGUUCUUCCAGUAAAAAAAUGGGUAUGCUACUAUCAGAUCCAACCCUUUCUAUGUCAAAAAUAGUAAUUUCAUAUUAUUAUUUGCAGGCUCAGUUUGACCUUCAAUAUGAUUGUUCUAGCUUUCAUUAGGCAAUAGGAACUGUUGUUGCAAAUAGAAACAGCCUGCAAAUGUUUAUUUAGCCUGUAAAUUCAGAAAAGAGAACAAAAAUGCACCUGUUGAUACAAAGUGACUAAGGACUUGGGGAGGACCAUCACUACCAACCAAGGAGGACCACAGGAAAGGUAGAACACUACAGCUUGGUCCAUGUUCCGUUAAGGUCGGCCUGAUCCCUGUUCUCCAAAUCAAUUUGCCAUGGCUCAUUAGUUGCGCAGUUCUUCUAAUUCGAUAAUUGGUGCGUUCUAAUAUAGGCAAAUUGCAAGGACAAGAACAUUUGAGGGGUUAUCAACACAUGUAAGUUUUGUUUUUCUCUACAACUUUAGAACAAAAACAAAAAACAAGAGCGAUGAUGAUAUACUAAGAAGGAGAUGGCACACAAUAUUGAUCAGUGUCUUUGUCUUUAUUGCCCCGUGGCAACGCACGGGCAUUGUCCUAGUUAUACCUAAAAACAGAUCAUAGUACACAAAGAUGAUAAAUUAUAUCAAAUUUGACAUGAUUGAACCUUAUAAGCUGGCCUCGAGAACACAACGGUCUAUUCCAUUUGGUUUUCCUGGUCCUCAUAAAUAAAUACUUAUGUUGCUUAUUAGAGUUCCAAGGUAUGCCAAAAAAUUGAGCAGAAAGCAAUGUUUGCUACCGAUUUCUGUAAAUGCCUGUUUCUUUGUAACUUCUUACCCUUGGUAUGUAAUUCCUAGAGAUAAAAAAAUUUAUAAUAGCUCUAGCCAAGUUUAAACUUAGGACAUUAUUUUUGGUUUUCACUAGAGUGGUAGUGAUAUUCAAACUUCGGAUAGCUCUAUGCCAGAAGAAAAAAAAGCAACACAAGAAACAAGCGUGCCAGUCAAGCAUAGAUUGUUAUUGCUCAAACUUAUUGAAUAGUGUAUAGCAGAAAACUUGCUUGCUACCAGUUGAACUACUGUUAUGUUGUAAAAGAGGAUUCAAGUUCUGCCUUUUAUGUACAUAGGUACUCAUGCAAUAAAUUUUGGUCAACUCUUUUCUGAAAUUUGUUUCAGUACUAAAGCAUAACCAAGUAAUGAUAUCUAGCUUGAGCAGCUCCUAAAUGGCGUAUUGAAUUCACUCUGGUUGCUCUUUAAUAAAACAAGUAAACAAAAAGAAACAUAUGAUUAUCACAGGUCUCCACAACUUCUUGUAUGGUAGUAUAAUACUCCUUCCAAAAUAUAAGGCGUGCUUGACUUUGCUUAGUCUUUAAUGCAUAACUUUGACCACUAAUAUAUACAAUAUUAUAUGGAUCUGGCAUGCAUAAAUGAUAUCAUCAUAUUUGUUGUGAAAAAUAAUCUUAUUUUAUAUAUCUUUAUACUAACUUGGUACACAUACUAUAAGUGAAAAUCAUAGUGAAAGUUCUGCGAAAAAACUAAGAAAAGUCAACCGCGCUUUAUAUUUUGGGAAGGAGGGAGUAUAUCUUUAUUGGAUAUUCUAACUAAUUACAAUCCUUGUUAGCAUUCUUGUCCCAUUAAUGUGAUGCCCUUCACAGGAAAUGGCCAGUGCAUAAGGAUCAUCUAAUUCUUUGUUGUUUCCGAACAUGGUGGCCCUUUGGUAGAGCCAUGUGAAGAUUUCAUUUAUGCACCUAUGGCUUAUUAUCUGUCUUGGCUGUAAUGAUUUGUUGUAUUUACUAUCUAAAUCAUUGUGUAUGUUGUUAUGCCAAACCAAUUCAUAUAUGUGAACCUUGCUUCUAUUGAGUAUAUAUGGCUUGCAAAAAUGUUAUGGAGGACAUAUUUCUUUAGAUUACCAACUAAUGUAUUGUUAUUGUUAUGCAAAUUCAAUAUGUUUCACGUGGCCAUAUAUUUAUGAAAAAUCCUACCAUUUUAUUGUAUAAUAGACGGGCGCAGCAACACGCGCCAUCAAUGAUCUAGU
rnacentral:lncRNA from 1 species